GGCCUUUUGAGAAUAAUUUAAGGUCGGGCCUGCCCAAUGACGAGGUUUGAAUGGCCGCGGUAUAUUAACUGUGCAAAGGUAGCAUAAUCAUUAGUUUUUUAAUUGGAAGCUGGAAUGAAAGGUUUAAUGAAAAAAGUUCUGUCUUUGAUUAAAUUUUUUAGAAUUUUAUUUUUAAGUAAAAAAGCUUAAAUAAUCAUUGAAGACGAGAAGACCCUAUAGAGUUUAAUAUUUAAAUAAUAUAUUGUAUUUAGAAUUUUUAAUUUAUUUUUUUUAAGUAUUUAAUUGGGGUGAUUGAAAAAUUAAAGAAACUUUUUUUUUACAAAACAUUAAUUUAUGGUUAGAUGAUCCUUUUUUUUUAGAUUAAAAGAAUAAAUUACCUUAGGGAUAACAGCGUGAUUUUUCUUAGAGUUCUUAUCGAAAGAAAAGAUUGCGACCUCGAUGUUGGAUUAAAAUGAAUUAUUGGUGUAGAAGCUAAUAUAUUAGGUCUGUUCGACCUUUAAAUUUUUACAUGAUCUGAGUUUAGACCGGUUUAAG
rnacentral:rRNA from 1 species